rnacentral:rRNA from 1 species
AUACGGAGGGGGUUAGCGUUGUUCGGAAUUACUGGGCGUAAAGCGUGCGUAGGCGGACUAUUAAGUCAGAGGUGAAAUCCCGGGGCUCAACCCCGGAACUGCCUUUGAUACUGGUAGUCUUGAGGUCGAGAGAGGUGAGUGGAAUUCCUAGUGUAGAGGUGAAAUUCGUAGAUAUUAGGAGGAACACCAGUGGCGAAGGCGGCUCACUGGCUCGAUUCUGACGCUGAGGUACGAAAGUGUGGGGAGCAAACAGGAUUAGAUACCCCGGUAGUCC